ensembl:rRNA 5S_rRNA 5S ribosomal RNA
AUCUCUGGCCAGACCACCCUAAAGGCGCCUGGUCUUCUCUGAUCAUGGAAGCUAAGCAGUGUUCAGCCUGAUUAGUACUUGGCAUGAGAGACUGCCUGGGAAAACCAGGUGCUGUCGGAU